rnacentral:ncRNA from 1 species
CAAAUAGUAAUGACGGAAUAAGUAGGCUUAUGGAUGCUAUACAGAGAGCCGGUGGUUGGUGCGAACCGGUUGGUGACAUAUGCUGAAGUACCUUCCUGAACUGCGAGGCUGAACGAUAGUAGGCCGAGCCGGAUUGGCACUCGUUACUGUGCUAUGAGUUGAUCUGAUUCGAGAUUAUUAGGGUGGUACCGCGGAACUUUCCGUCCCUUGC